ACGUAUGGGGCGAGCGUUGUUCGGAAUUAUUGGGCGUAAAGGGCGUUUAGGCGGGGAAUUAAGUUAGGUGUGAAAUCCAUGGGCUCAACCCAUGAAUUGCAUUUAAAACUGAUUCUCUUGAGUUCGGGAGAGGAGAGCGGAAUUCCAGGUGUAGCGGUGAAAUGCGUAGAUAUCUGGAAGAACACCAGUGGCGAAGGCGGCUCUCUGGCCUAGAACUGACGCUGAAGCGCGAAAGCGUGGGGAGCGAACAG
rnacentral:rRNA from 1 species